ensembl:lncRNA
CUGCUGUUUGAUACUCUUUUUUGUAAAUCAAGCAAACAGAUUUACUGAUACAUGGUUCAAUUUGUCGAUUACAGAUCAGGGCCUACCUUUAUUUUACAUAGUGCUGAUUCCUUCUGCUGCUGGAUCUCUGUUGAUUGUUUCAGUCGUGAUCUGCUGCAUCUGCAGGAAAUGUAGAAAAACAGCUCUGACCCAAGAGGAAGACAGAACUGAUUCAGCAUUGUGUAAACCAGCAACACGAAAAAUGAAAUCAAAGACUGACGCUGUGUAUGAAAAUAUCCCCAAAAAGCGAUGAUCAAAUACAGUGAGCGUGAUUUGACCAAGUACAUGUUCCGGGAUCAUCCUUGUUGAUCCUGGAACAACAUUCCAAUCAACCAAUCAGAAUUGAGAUUUAACUUUUCAGGAAAUACCUGUUUUAGGCAGGUGCUUCUAGACAUUUGUUAAUCAGCUAUCAUCUCCACUGAUUUUAGGAAUAAAGGUCAGGUUUAGGGGUAGGGAUUGGGUUAA